AACGAACGCUGGCGGCGCGCCUAAUACAUGCAAGUCGAGCGAGAAGACGUAGCAAUACGUUUGUAAAGCGGCGAACGGGUGAGGAACACAUGGGUAACCUACCCUAGAGUGGGGAAUAACUAGCCGAAAGGUUAGCUAAUACCGCGUACGCUCCUUGGACUUCGGUACAGGGAGGAAAGCGAUACCGUGGGUAUCGCGCUCUUGGAUGGGCUCAUGUCCUAUCAGCUUGUUGGUGAGGAACGGCUCACCAAGGCUUCGACGGGUAGCUGGUCUGAGAGGACGAUCAGCCACACUGGCACUGCGACACGGGCCAGACUCCUACGGGAGGCAGCAGUAAGGAAUAUUGCGCAAUGGGCGAAAGCCUGACGCAGCGACGCCGCGUGGGGGAUGAAGGUCUUCGGAUUGUAAACCCCUUUCGGGAGGGAAGAUGGAACGAGCAAUCGUUCGGACGGUACCUCCAGAAGCA
rnacentral:rRNA from 1 species